ensembl:lncRNA
GAGCAAUUCACUGUUCCUGUCAUAAAAUGUACUACAAACAGCCUAAAGCUUGAUUUUUUUUUUUCUCCCCCGUCACCAAUGCGCAGUCUGGCACUUUGCUCCUUCUACUCUUUAACACCUGAUGACUUGCAGCUCCUUCCAGCCAAUCAGCUGCGGAGACUCAGCAUCUCUGUGGCCCCCCCUGUGUGCGCACUGUCAUCAUGACAGCGCGCUAUAAGAAGCCAUCGGCCUCAUACGCCUGACCUGCGUCGCCGGUAAGUUUGUGUUGUUCUGCCAAAGACUCGGUCACCGCAGUUUUGAUGAAUGGAUGAGGUUUUCGUGCAAAGUGAAACCUACACACUUCGGCAGAGAGGGCAGCGUGAAGGAGGCUUCCCAGAUGUGCAGCAUGAGGCCACAUGGUCCUACAGUUGAGCAGUGCUGCUUCAGACCACCUCGCUCGCUGGAGCAGAACGUCAGAAAGAGAAGAGUCCACUCCCUUCCUGGAAACCUGUCUCCAGCACCCUCACGCUACUCAGAACUUGUGCCUCUCAGGCAUCACAAGUGCGUUGCCGGAGUGUUGCCCGGCCUCGUGGGGUAUGGCUUCUGGGAGGAUGAGACGGAGAGCCUGAGCAGGAUCAAAAGGUCACGUGGGUUCUCCGAAAUUUUUAACUCGGACCUUAAACUUCCCCCUCUCGCUGCACACAACGAUAAAGUGAGCAGGGCGGGUUUGAUGGUGCGAGGGUCCAGCUGUCUGCGCGUUUCCACAUUUCCACCCAUUCACGGUGGGCCCCAGGUUCUAGAGAGACCCCCAUCGCGGGCUGGACGCAGAGAGCUGGACCAUCCUAGUGAAAAAGAGAGUACGGUUGAAGGCGAGGCCCAACAGAGCAGGAGACGAACGCAGCCCUUGAUAAAGGGCCCCUCUGCCGGUCUUUCCGACCCAACCCGUUCCAAAGCAAAAUUAAAGGUUCAUCUUGGAGACCACGCCUCUGAGAAGAGUGGGAUGUUCAAGAUCAACCUAGGAAUCAACUUACAAAAAAGCCUUGGAGGACCAGCUGGCCUACGUCCGCUGAAGCUAGAUGGAGUGUUGACAGGACAGAAGCCUGGCGAAGGUUAGGCGUCAACCACGCAGCUACGGUCAGGCCUCAGCAGCUCAGUUAUAUGAGAGGGACCAGGGGUUGGAGCCUCAUUUCUGUCGCUCCUCCUUGGGUGCGUAGAGCAGCAGCCCAUCUACGACCUUCUACAGUCCACUUCCUCCAAACACCCUGCCUACCGGCCCAACCAUUCCGAUGUGGGAUUGUCCAGCUGCAACGGGUGGCGCUUCCCGAAGUCACAAUGACCAUUCAUCCCGAAAUCCCUCCUUAACUCCUUUCUCGCACCCGUUCUUUAAUUCCUGACUCUCAUCUGACAUCACUUUUAAACUCUUCUCUUACAGCAUGCUUCAGACUUUUGCUAUAGCUUAGCGAUCUUAAUGUUUUUUUUGACAACUCCAUAUUUGGAGGGAAUUUGUUUCAAGGAAUUUUCUUCACACAGCCUUAAUAACCUGAAAAAACUGCUGUAUCUUGUAUGUAUUGUUCUAUCUCGUGUGUAUCGUUGUACGUGUUGCGUGCUGUUACCGACUUGUGAGAAUAUUCGUUCUUCCUAAAACUAAUGCCUUUUUUUAAAUAUUUAAUUUCGCUGCCGACGAAGGUAAACCCUGUUAAUUCCGUUUUUGCACACUGUUUGCAAAUAAAUAAAGAACAGUUGACUCUGC